CACGUAGGGGGCGAGCGUUGUCCGGAUUCAUUGGGCGUAAAGGGCGCGCAGGCGGCCCGGAAAGUCGGAUGUGAAAACUCGAGGCUCAACCUCGAGCGUGCACCCGAUACUGCCGGGCUUGAGGCAGGUAGGGGAGAUCGGAAUUCCUGGUGUAGCGGUGAAAUGCGCAGAUAUCAGGAGGAACACCAAUAGCGAAGGCAGCUCGCUGGGACGUUACUGACACUGAGGCGCGAAAGCGUGGGGAGCGAACAGG
rnacentral:rRNA from 1 species